rnacentral:SRP_RNA from 1 species
GUAGGGCAUGGUGACGUGCACCUGUGGUCCCAGCUACUCUGGAAACUGAGGCGAGAGGAUUACUGGAGCCCUAGAGUUCUGGUCACUAUGCUGAUAUGGUGUCAAUACUAAGUUCAGGAUCAAUAUGUUGGUUGACCUUGCAGGAGCAAGAGACCAUCAGGUUGUCUAAAAAGGGGUGAACUGGCUCAGGUCGGUGUUGAUCAGUAGUGGGAUCACACCAAAGCAGGAGGAUUGCUUGAGGCCAGAAGUCCAAGAACAGCCUGGGCAACAUAGCAAGACCCCAUCUCU